rnacentral:rRNA from 1 species
AACGAACGCUGGCGGCAGGCCUAACACAUGCAAGUCGAGCGGACCCUUCGGGGUUAGCGGCGGGCGGGGGAGUAACGCGUGGGAAUAUGCCCUUCUCUACGGAAUAGUCCUGGGAAACUGGGGGUAAUACCGUAGACGCCCUUUGGCGGAAAGAUUUAUCGUGGAAGGAUGAGCCCGCGUUGGAUUAGGUAGUUGGUGUGGUAAUGGCCUACCAAGCCGACGAUCCAUAGCUGGUUUGAGAGGAUGAUCAGCCACACUGGGACUGAGACACGGCCCAGACUCCUACGGGAGGCAGCAGUGGGGAAUCUUAGACAAUGGGGGCAAUCCUGAUCUAGCCAUGCCGCGUGAGUGAUGAAGGCCUUAGAGUUGUCAAGCUCUUUCAGCUGGGAAGAUAAUGACGGUACCAGCAGAAGAAGCCCCGGCUAACUACGUG